GGGUUGUGAGGUUAAGCGACUAAGCGUACACGGUGGAUGCCCUGGCAGUCAGAGGCGAUGAAGGACGUGCUAAUCUGCGAUAAGCGUCGGUGAGGUGAUAUGAACCGUUAUAACCGGCGAUUUCCGAAUGGGGAAACCCAGUGUGAUUCGUCACACUAUCAUUAACUGAAUCCAUAGGUUAAUGAGGCGAACCGGGGGAACUGAAACAUCUAAGUACCC
rnacentral:rRNA from 1 species